AAAAAAUAAUAUAUAUUCCUGUUUGCGCACAGCUUCCCUGUCAAACAAAUAUAUUUAUUGAAGAAUAGUAUAUCUAAAUAUCAGGUCAGGAGUUCUGAAGCGCUCAUUGAGCUGAUGAUACUGCGCAUGUGUGAUUCAGUGUGAAGCAGACUGACUCACAGCUCGCCUGAAACGAACUGGUUCUUUUGGUGAUUGAUUCUGAACUGAUUCUGUGCUUAUGUUAUAAGCGCGGGUAAACUGAAGGCUUGAAUUAAGGGCAGUCAUCGCUAAUGACAUUACAUCGAGCGCAAAAGAACCGGUGAACCGUUUUUUUUUUCAACUGGUUUAUUUGAUCGAAUUGUCCGAAAGAACCGGUUCACUUGAGCACCUGCUCCUUUGCCCCAAAAGUGCCCUUUUGUCAAAGCAAAAUUUCCUCGAAUUUUUUUUGCAAUAACAUACCCUUUUGUCAACGCCCAAUCAUAAUAUUAUUACAAUUUAUUAAUAAUAAUUUAGUCGUAAAUAAAAUGACCAAUAUGUUGACCUUUCACCUGACCGGGAAAAUUCCUCAGGCCACACGCGCAUUUUUAAUUGCUCAAAGAUAUUUUCAGAACCGUGGCAGCUGGUUUUACUCUUUUAGAAGUCUUUCCUAUAGGACCGGGGGGUGGAAACCCCCUCAUGUCUCCUCUUCAUCCCCGUGAUGUCUGCGAUUCCGUGGUUUCUUCUGUUCCUUCAGCUCUUUGAGAUCUUGGGCCUGGAUGACCCCCGUCAGCGGGUCUCCGUACUGCCAAUAGUCCUGGCAGUACUGGUUUAUGAGGCCCAUCUCAGGCUGACUGAGGAUGGUCAGAAGGUCUUUGUACUGUCCAGAGCUGGGGGUCCAGGUGCUGGAUUGGAGCGAAGAAGCCGCCGGACGGCCUGUUUCCACCAGGAUGUUGUUGACGGCCUGGUUGGUCAAGACCACCAGCUGAAGUUUGACCAAGGUGUGCUUGAAGUUCUUCUCGGUGGCUGUGCAGAUGUAGAUGCCAGAGUCUGAGGACUGGAGGGAAGGCAGUAGUAAACCUUGAUCCGUCUUCAACACGCGCCCAUCAGUACGGACCUGAAGAAACACAAAACAGCCAUGAUUAAUAAAACAGCAAACUUUGGAUGUGUCA